AUUGAACGCUGGUGGCAUGCUUUACACAUGCAAGUCGAACGGCAGCGCGGGCUUCGGCCUGGCGGCGAGUGGCGAACGGGUGAGUAAUGCAUCGGAACGUGCCCAGUAGUGGGGGAUAGCCCGGCGAAAGCCGGAUUAAUACCGCAUACGACCUGAGGGUGAAAGCGGGGGACCGAAAGGCCUCGCGCUAUUGGAGCGGCCGAUGCCGGAUUAGCUAGUUGGUGGGGUAAAGGCUUACCAAGGCGACGAUCCGUAGCUGGUCUGAGAGGACGACCAGCCACACUGGGACUGAGACACGGCCCAGACUCCUACGGGAGGCAGCAGUGGGGAAUUUUGGACAAUGGGGGCAACCCUGAUCCAGCCAUGCCGCGUGCGGGAAGAAGGCCUUCGGGUUGUAAACCGCUUUUGUUCGGGAAGAAAUCCUCUGGGCUAAUACCCCGGGGGGAUGACGGUACCGGAAGAAUAAGCACCGGCUAACUACGUG
rnacentral:rRNA from 1 species